rnacentral:tRNA from 1 species
GGGGUUGUAGCUCAGUGGUUGAGUGCCUGCCUCACAUGCAUGAGGCACUGGAUUCAAUCCUCAGUGCCA